rnacentral:rRNA from 1 species
CCUGGUUGAUCCUGCCAGUAGUCAUAUGCUUGUCUCAAAGAUUAAGCCAUGCAUGUGUAAGCACACACUGUUUUAAAAGUGAAGCCGCGAAUGGCUCAUUACAACAGCCACAGUUUAUUAGAACUUACAAUCAUGGAUAACUGUGGUAAUUCUAGAGCUAAUACACGCACAAAAACUUCAACUGAAUUGGUUGAAGUGCUUUUAUUAGAACAAAAACCGAACGGCGUUUGGCGAAUGUUGAACGUCGAAACUGUUUGGUGAAUCUGAAUAACUAUUUCUGAUCGCAUGGUCUAGCACCGGCGACAUCACUUUCAAGUGUCUGCCUUAUCAACCUUCGAUGGUAGUCUAUGCGACUACCAUGGUGAUAACGGGUAACGGAGAAUCAGGGUUCGACUCCGGAGAGGGAGCCUGAGAAACGGCUACCACAUCCAAGGAAGGCAGCAGGCGCGCAAAUUACCCACUCCCAGCUUGGGGAGGUAGUGACGAAAAAUAACGAGACGAUUCUCGUUUGAGAAACGUUAUCGAAAUGAGUACGCUUUACACACGCUAACGAGUAGCAAUUGGAGGGCAAGUCUGGUGCCAGCAGCCGCGGUAAUUCCAGCUCCAAUAGCGUAUAUUAAAGUUGCUGCGGUUAAAACGCUCGUAGUUGAAUUGUGGUCUUAGACAACAGUCCCCCUACAUAGGUGUGGCACGGUUGCUCGAGAUCUUCAUUCGUGGUUGCUGUUGUUGCUCUUCAUUGAGUGUCAAUGGUGCCUCGAGAUUUUACUUUGAAAAAAUUAGAGUGCUCAAAGCAGGUUGUGAUGCCUGAAUAAUGGUGCAUGGAAUAAUAGAAUACGAUCUCGGUUCUAUUUUGUUGGUUUUCGAACCGGAGAUAAUGAUUGAAAGGAACAGACGGGGGCAUUCGUAUUGCUGCGUUAGAGGUGAAAUUCUUGGAUCGCAGCAAGAUGAACAAUUGCGAAAGCAUUUGCCAAGAAUGUUUUCAUUAAUCAAGAACGAAAGUUAGAGGUUCGAAGGCGAUCAGAUACCGCCCUAGUUCUAACGGUAAACUAUGCCAACCAGCGAUUCGCCGAAGUUCAUUUAAGACUCGGCGAGCAGCUUCCGGGAAACCAAAGUGUUUCGGUUCCGGGGGAAGUAUGGUUGCAAAGCUGAAACUUAAAGGAAUUGACGGAAGGGCACCACCAGGAGUGGAGCCUGCGGCUUAAUUUGACUCAACACGGGAAAACUCACCCGGCCCGGACACUGGAAGGAUUGACAGAUUGACAGCUCUUUCUUGAUUCAGUGGGUAGUGGUGCAUGGCCGUUCUUAGUUGGUGGAGCGAUUUGUCUGGUUAAUUCCGAUAACGAACGAGACUCUACCCUAUUGAAUAGUGACAGUAUUGUAUUUUUUGUGCUGAUCACUUCUUAGAGGGACUGGCAAAUUGAAAGCUGCACGAAAAAGAGCAAUAACAGGUCUGUGAUGCCCUUCGAUGUCCGGGGCUGCACGCGCGCUACAAUGAAAGCGUCAACGUGAGUUACGUCCUUACCUGAAAAGGUUUGGCAAUCGAAUGAAACGUUUUCUUGAAUGGAAUAGGGAAUUGCAAUUGUUUCCCUUGAACGAGGAAUUCCCAGUAAGCGUGAGUCAUUAGCUCGCGUUGAUUACGUCCCUGCCCUUUGUACACACCGCCCGUCGCUACUACCGAUUGGAUGAUUUAGUGAGGUGUUUUGACUGGCGCCAGUAGUCGGAUGUAUUCGGCUUCGCGCCGGGAAAUUUCCCAAACCAAAUCAUCUAGAGGAAGUAAAAGUCGUAACAAGGUUUCCGUAGGUGAACCUGCGGAAG